UAAAGCAGUUAGUAUUGACAGUAAAUGGGUUGGUGGUUAUGUGUAGGUUUAUUUUCUAUAGGUCUAACAUAAAAGCUUGGCUGUUUCCAUUUCUCUGCCACUGUACACACUUUCUCAGGUUCUUAUUUGAGUUUCUAUUUUUAUAAUUUGUUUCCAAGAGUGGUGGUCUAAAUGGUUUAGGGAAUCAAAAGGGCCUUAUAGAUUUAGGUCUAAAUGGUCUAUUUUAAUUUGGUUUAUUUUCAUUAGGUGUAAGCCUGUUAUGUCUAUAUACAUGAGGCUUAAAACUAUAGUCUUAUCUUUUUUUUCUAAUGUUUUAUUUAUUUUUGAGAGACACACACAAAGUGUGAGUGGGGUGGGUCAGGGAGGGAGGGAGACACAAAAUCCAAAGCAGACUCUAGGCUGUCAGCACAGAACCUGACACAGGGCUUGAACUCACGAAUGGUGCUAUCAGACCUGAGCCGAAGUUGGAGGCUUAACCAACUGAGCCACCCAGGUGCCCAAAGCUAUCGCCUUUAGCUUAAGUUAGCCUCUCAGCUGUUCUUAUCAAGUCAAUCAGUUCUGUUUUUCUGCCUCACACAAAUACUGUAAAUAAUGCUGUAAUCCUGUAGUGCACAGCUUUUAGGCUGAACUUUUAAUUUGUUUUGUUGCUUCCACAUGUAUCAGUAAGGAUGUCUGCCCCUAUCAUAAAUCAUAGUUAAUAGUCCUAAUUUCAUACUACUGAAAUAUAAUAAUGAAAUGAAAUAUAUUAAUAGCAUUCACUGUUUUCCAUGGAGAUAUUGUUAAGAGAUGAUAUAUUAGGUAUAGGUCAUCUUAAUCUCCAGUUUGCUGCUAUAUAAACAAAGAUCUUUGUAAACUAAUAUUAUUUUCCCCAGAUGUUCUGAGUAUUGAUUCAUUUUAGCAUCAAUGAUAAUGGGUUUUAGGUGCAUAAUCUCUACUUUUGUGAGGAUCAGGUUUUGUCUUCCUUUGGACCACAAAUCUAAUAGCCACUGAGUUUCUGUGUCCAAAUCUGUUGGAAUUCCAUUCUAAUUUUUGGCAUUUCUUAUCUGGUUUUAGCUCUCUCUUCAAUGACUCUGAUUGGUUCCAUACUAAUCAUUUGUUGUAAUUUUGUCUAUUAUCAUGGGCUUUUAGCUUCUAGUUAGCUAAUGUUAUGAGGGUCAAAAUGGUUGAAAUGUAGAUUGGUGCCCUUAGAGGCAAAAGGGUAUGGGUUUCUUCCUAACCUGGAGAUAACUUUUUUUUUAAGUUUAUUUACUUAUUUUGGGAGAGAGAGAGAGAGUAUGCGAGUGCAGGAGAGGCAGAGAGAGAGGGAGAGACCUGUGCUGUGAGAUCGUGACCUGAGUGGAAAUCAAGAGUCAGACACUUAACUGGGCCACCCAGGCAUCCCUGGAGAUAACUGUUUGUGCUGGUACUUUUCCUUUCUGCCUGUUGGCAUCUGUAUUACUCUAAUGCUUCUAAUAAGAGCACUAGAAGAUCUUCCUUACUUGCUCUAAUACAAGAUAUAAUUGACUGCAUUGGUUGAUCAGGCCAAUAUCUGGAGUUUCCUUAAUUUUAACUUUUGCCCAAAGUCUUCAAUAGGUCUCUAUGGAUCCUCAGAUGGUAAUAUAUAAUCCGUUCUAUCCCUAAAUCACCUCUUGGAUCAUUUUGGAAGGGUUCGUAAGUCGGGUAUAUUUGCUAUUGUUCUGCUGCCUUUCACAAGUAUGUUCAAUAUAUGUUUUAUCAGAGAGAUGCCUAAUAAGAUUCUAAAUGAUUCGUACUAUGGUAAAGCAGAAUAAGAUAAUUGUUGCAGGACAACAUUAGCAUCCAAAUUAUACUAGCCCAAUCAAUUUUGUCUAUUCAAAGGUUGGUUAUAAUUUCAAUAAGACGCCAUAAAUAGUAAACAGUAUCUUAAGUUUAAAAUUUGUCAAGCCAUUAAUGGGCUUUUUCAGAUUUUUGUUAAUAUAAAUUUAUUACAAUUUAUCACUUGUUUCAAAUUUAAAUGGAAUAUGACAUAUUUCACAGCAAUGACUGCUGUUAAUUAUUAUUACUUUGGUUCAGGUUGCAGACUAUACCAAUUGUUUUGUUUGAGGAGGUGAAUUAAAGCUCAGCGACUGAGUUUGUCUUUGCCAAAAAUGUUCUCAACACAGCUUCACUGGGAAUUUUACAAGCCACCUGCACACAGGGUAGUAAUGUCUUUUAAUAAAGCCAAUAAAGAAAUGCUAUAGCCCAAACCAAUGAUAAAUGAACCACACUAUUGUCCCAGGAAAAGGGAGAUGAUAGGAAUAAAGUCCAAAUUUAGUUGAGGCAUACUUUUGUUAAAAAAAAAAAAGUUAACUGAGUAAAUUAGAAUAUCUAAUUGAUUUUAUUAAGCAAUUUAUGAAUCCAACAGCAUCACAAAUAGCAAGUAGAGAAAUGCUCUGAGGAGUUGUACAAAUGGAAGGUUUUUAUAGGAGGGAGAAUGGGGCAAGGAAAUUAUCAGCAAAAGAAAAGAAAGUUUAGUCUCAGGCCAGGAAAGCUUCUUUGAAGUGGGGAGGGACCAGCAGGGUUUGUUAUCAUGCAGAUCACCUCACUGAUGCCGAUCAGGAAAUUUCAGAUUGACUUAAUUUUUUUUAAGUAGGCUCCACACCCAGUAUGAAGGCCAGCUUGGGCUUGAACUCAUGACCCUGAGAUCAAGAGUCCAAGGCUUAAUCAACUGAACCACCGAGGUACCCCCAGAUUCACUUUUAAAAGGUCACAUUGUUGGGGCAACUGGCUGGCUCAGUCAGAAGAGGAUGCCACUCUUGAUAUCAGGGUCAUGAGUUAGAGCCCCAUGAUGGGUGUUAGAGAGUACUUUUAAAAAUAAAUAAAAGGCCACAUUCCUGGGACAGGGUGAAAUUGUAACUAAAUCUUGGUUUGUUGUUGUUGGGGGCAAAGGACUCCAUUUUGGAUUUCUCUUUUUAACACUUUAUAGGAGUUGACACUCAAGAGAGGCUUAGUCAAGUGAAAACUGACAUCCAGCAGUCAGUGCAAAAAAGUUCUGUGUUGCUAGAGCUUGUUGCUAGGGAACAAGGGCACAGGUGUUGUUUGGCAAGAUGAUCUUCCCUACGAUGCUACUUGGCUUUGCCCCUGCUUUUAAGAGAGUUGCCUUUACUGGGGGCAGAAACUAAUUGUCUCAGGGUCUUUGGGACUAUUUUAAAUCAGCAAAGUUUAUGAUUGCUCAGAGCAAGCAUUCUCCAAUAGUCCCCACAGCUCUCAUUAUUUAUGGUCUCAUGUCUCCUUGACAGUUACAUCAUCUGUUUUCAUUGAUAAGCUGCCAGCCAGGCCCCUCAGCAGCUGAGUUGUUGAGUUUUGAUGGGCGAGAACAGAUGAGAUGAUGAUGUCCUGACACAACUUCCUUCAUUCUUAUAUCAAAACAACUUUACCUCUGAAAACAGUUUGUCCUUCUCAUAAACACUUGACAUCAUACCAAACCAAUACACAACAUAGGCAGAGCUGGAAGAAUCUGGACUGUCUGGCCAUUGGGGGCCGGAAAUAAUAUCCUUGGAUGAUAGAUACCUGGGAGGCUGGAGAAGCCUAGGACCCCCGUCAGAUAGCCAAUCUAAAUGAGCACAACCUGUCACAAAUUUAAAGCUGCCUCCUGACAAAGACUUUCAUGUGGAGGGUUCCCUACACCCUGAGGCAAUUCAGGUGACUGGGUUCUGAACAGAAUUUCACAGGGUUGGAGCAUCCCCUGUAGCCCUAGUCCUGCUGAUGAGGCGUGGACUGCAUGUGCCCACUGCAUGGGUCAGGAUAGCCUGGAACGAGGCAAUGUUGAAGGAAGCCAGGUCACAGGAUGGGGCUAUUCAGAGUAUGAGUCAGCAGCCUAAUAUGCACGGCCUACGAGCCCAUAUGGAGUUUUCCCCACAAGGCAGAGCUGAAGGUUUUCCAUCUGGUUUGCCAGGGAGGGAACACUGGCAGGACAGGAUAUCCUCCAUCUAGACGUAUCUGGGAGUCCUGGUCCCUAGAGAAGCCUAGGACACCAUUGGCUGCAAGUUCACAUGGGGACCAUUGCCCAUUUGCAGCUUUCACUCAGGGUGAUUUUUGAAAGGUGGGCUCCCUCCAUGCUAAAAGCUAUGAGGGUGAUUGGAGCCUGGCGGGAGUUUGACAAGUUUAGAGAGCUGCGUCUGCCCAAGUCCAGCUUCUGGGUGCAUAAUGCUCAUGUACAGGCUACACAGGUAAAGCCAGGGACAUGGAACAGGGCAAUGUUGGGCAAGACACAGUCACCUGAGGGGGCUUUGGAGGUAAUGGACAUGUGCCUAAUCCCAAACUUUCACCUACACAAAUAGACGUUCUCACUGAAGGGAGAUCUGGAGUAAUCUGGAGUGCCUGAUCAGGUUUAAUCAGCGGUCUGGCUAGAGUAUCCUCUAAUAAGGACACCUGGCAACCUUGAUUACUGCAGAAGCCCCAGAACCCAGCCGACACUAAGUCUUCAUGGGCUCUGCCCAGCUCCCAUUUCAGAGGCUGUUCAGGGUGUUGGGUCCCUGCACCCUUGAGACUGUGCAGGUGGUUGGGGAUGGGUCUCAGCUCCAAAGGCCUGGUGGCCCCAGCUGCUGAAGGACAGCUAAUGGGGUACAUACUCCUCAUGAUGUGGGCUGUGCAGGUUAAUGUAGCCAUGGACCUGAGAAAAGGUGAGUGUCUUGUAAGGCCAGGUCACAAGAGCAGACUAUUAGAAGUACCAGGCAUCUAUCUAAUUAUAAGGCUUCACCUAACAAAUGUGUAUUUUCCCCUUUAAGCAGAGCUGGAGAAAUCUGGACGGCCUUACUAGGACAAGCUGGAAUGCCCCCUUAUAAGACACAGCUGGGAUUCUUAAUUGCUGGAGAAGUCAGCUCCCUUUCAGACCGUUCGAAGGGGGCCUGACAGUUCCCAGUUUAACUUAGGGCUUCAGAAAAAUUUGGGGGGGUGUGGGCUCUCUCCACCCUGAAGGCUAUCAGGUGAUAGGCAACUGGUUCGAGCCUCACAGGCCUGGAGGAUUCCAACGGCCAAAAGCUGGCAGACGGUGUGGAAUGUACAUUACAGCUGGCAGGUCAUGAUUGCCAACGUCCCGGAACAGAGCAUAUCAGGUAGAGCUGGAUGUUUUCAACUGCCUUGCCCGGGUGGGGACCUGCCAGCAACACAGCUUACCUUUCAUUUGGAGACACCUUGAAGUCCUGGUCCCUAGAGAAGCCCAGGACCCCAUCAGGCAAUAAAACUAUUAAUCUGGACUGCCAAGACUGAGCCAGGUGGCCUGACUAGGAAACGUUUACUAAAGGCAUCUAGGAGCCUUGCUUGUUGGUAAGCCCAGGACCCCGUCAGGUAGCUGGUCCAAAUGGGAGCUCUUUCCACCCUUAAAGCUAAUGCCUCAGAAAGACUUUUUGGGAUUCUGCACACUCUGCCCUGUAAUGCAAGUGGAUGAGGACCAUUUGGAGCUGCAGAGGCCUACAGUGCCCCAGCUACCCAAGGCUGACAGCAUAGUUGGCAGGAUAAACUUUCCUAGCGGGAUACUGCUGCAGCUGAGAGAUCCUGGGACAUCUGACAAAAAGCCAGCAAAAGGCCACCUAGAAGAACCUUGAAGGGUAGAAUAAAAGUUUUCCUUCCCAACAUUUGGCAUAGUCAGUAGGAUACACUUCCCUCACUGGACACUGUUUGCUUUGAGUCUCUUGCAGCUGACACAUCCUGGAACAUCUAACAGCCAGC